AUUCUGUCAAGGCGGGCUGUGAAGUCGGCUUGCUCCCCAUAUGGAACAGUGGGCCUCGUGACAUCCACCAUUUUUUUUUAGAGAGGGCCCGCAGGCUGUGGUGAGUCAGCAGGAUCUCCACGGGGUGGACCGAGAUGACCCCCGGAAAUCUAGAUGGGGGUAAUGGGGCAAUUAUGGGAUACCACCAAGGCUCUGGACACUCAAGUUCGGUAGAUCAGCAACCUCUCCCGCUCAGCAUGUACACCAGGCCGCACUGCGUCGAGUCAAGUAUACCGGUAAUUGGUAAGCUGGAUAACAUUUAAUUGAGUCCCGGUACUCUGCUUCGGUUAGGGAGCAUGAGAGGCACUACUGGAGUCAUGCAGGGAGCAAUAAAGGGCAGAUAUAUAGGUAAAC